rnacentral:rRNA from 1 species
UGCUCCUUGAAGAUUUGAGUUGUAUGAGGGGUCGGACCUGCCCGGUGACUAAUGUGUUAAACGGCCGCGGUACCCUAACCGUGCAAAGGUAGCAUAAUCAUUUGCCUUUUAAUUGGAGGCUGGUAUGAAUGGUUUGACGAGAGCCAAGCUGUCUCUUUGGGAAUAUUUAAAAAUUAACUUUUGGGUGAAGAGGCCCGAAUGAAGCUGAGGGACAAGAAGACCCUGUUGAGCUUUAGUAUAGUGAUAUAUUUUGAAGACUAAGUGCUGUAUAAGUUGAUGGAGAACUUAGUUUAGUUUAUUGAAGUAUAAUUUUGUUUUAUCAUUAAUCUUUAGUUGGGGCGACUGAGGAACAGUGUGAGCUUCCUUUAAGUAAAUAGGUAUUUGACUAUUGGGGUGUCUGAAGUAAUAUUGGCAGAUUUUAUAAGAUCCAGUAUUGUACUGAUUAAAGGAAUAAGUUACCACAGGGAUAACAGCGUAAUCUUUCUGGAGAGAUCAUAUCGAAAGAAGGGUUUGCGACCUCGAUGUUGGACUAAGAUAUCCUAAGGGUGUAGAAGCUCUUAACGGUUGGUCUGUUCGACCAUUAAAAUCUU